UACAGAGGUCCCAAGCGUUGUUCGGAUUCACUGGGCGUAAAGGGUGCGUAGCGGUCGGGUAAGUCUGAUGUGAAAUCUCCAAGCCUAACUUGGAAACUGCAUUGGAUACUAUCCGGCUAGAGGAAUGGAGGGGAGACUGGAAUACUUGGUGUAGCAGUGAAAUGCGUAGAUAUCAAGUGGAACACCAGUGGCGAAGGCGAGUCUCGUGGACAUUUCCUGACGCUGAGGCACGAAAGCCAGGGAGCAAACGGG
rnacentral:rRNA from 1 species